rnacentral:tRNA from 1 species
CUUAAAUAGCUUAUAUUUUAGAGCAUAAUAUUGAAGAUAUUAAGGAAACAAGAAUAUUUUUAAGUAA